AACAAAGUCAUCAUGGGUGUUCCCUGUGCUGCUGCCACUGGAGCCCUCCGAGUGUAAGCUGCCUUGUAGAGGAGAUUCAGUUUCUGGGGAGUCAGGAGGAUUGACCUGCCCAAGAAAUCAAAGAUGGUCUGUGCUGCACCCUUAGAAUAAAGGGGACCCAGACUGAGGUGCAAUUCAAACACCCUGAUGUGAAGAGAGAACUCCAUCAACCAGAGUGAUGUUCCAGAGUUUUCAGUUUAGGACAGCUUUGUUUCUGUGUAUUGCUCAUGGACAGACUUUCUCCUGAAUUUUUGGCUACUCAACAACAUAAAGACAUGCUAUGCAAGCUCACAGGGAGAAGAGAUCACUCUGCCAAGACAACCUUACAAUUCUAAUUGUGGUAGCAAAGACUGGCUUUAUAAAUAAGCGCACAGCAUAUGGCAGCUAUGAGCUACAGAAAAGCAAGAACGUAGGCUCAUACUCAAUGUGAAUCCUCAAGGUUUGUCUGGUUUCAUAAAACUUUUCCCCUCAGUGACAGCAAAGCUUCAUGUACCCUGGGGAGAUGUCAACCUCAAUGUAUUUACAUUGUAUU